rnacentral:lncRNA from 1 species
GUCCUACUUAGUGUUUAGUAUCCUCGUUUGAGUUUUUCCUAUUUCAUCCUCACAAGAGGUCCAGUAGAUUUGUGACUGCCAAGCAGGUCUUCAGAAGAAUUAAACAUAAAUUUGAAAAAAUAAUCUUUCCACAUUUUCAGGUAUGACACACUAUGUCUUGAAUUCAUUAAGACCUGUGUUUGUAGUUAGUUGUGUAUCUCAUUUAUCCUUCUUAGAGCAUAACACUUCCUCCUGGGAUCUCAAAGACCAGACCUUUACUUCUGGGAGAGCACAGAUCCGAGGCCUGACAGGUCCAAGCAGGUGAUAGGUCCCAUCUAGUGAUAGUUAAAAUUUAACUUGCAGAAGAUUAAUCAGGGUUCAAGUCAGAGCAACUGGAAGAGGUGGCUUCCCGUCUUGACUCCCAGGAUUGCAGUUUCCAAAUCCUAUACUCGGACCAGCUUGCUCUUCCUUUUCUCCGUAUAAAUGAAAACAAAGUGAAGGGAAAGCAUUUCUACUACAGUGUAACAUCAAGUCUCCCUGCUUCAUACUCUGCAGGACAGGGAGCCAUUCAGGAGUGUCAGAGUCUUACAGCAUUUGCCAUUUAGGGAUACUUACUCUGGGCUUAAGGGCACCUGCUCAUUGGAUUUAGUUUUACUGUUGUUGUGGAUACCUGUGGAAUGCUAGCUUGUCCCAUAGAACAGUUAGAAUAUCAAAUGUCACCUGCCAUCACCUGCCGCCUAGAAUCUCAUUGUACAGAACUCAAGAAAGUCUGGGCCUUGGGCUUUCCUCCCUUUUCUGCUCUCAAGCCAAGACCUGAACUCCUGCAGAGGAUAUAAGACAGGAAUUUCCCAGGUUAUCUUGCUGCUACCUCGAGAGGCAACUGUCAGAAAGUGAAUGCCAAAGAGAGUGCAGAUCCCCUGGCAGGGCCAGGAGCCGCUGGUACUGGAAAGUAUGAACUCUGUGAAAUUUCCCCACUCGGUCUUGAUGUUAGCAUCCCUGGGCUGGAAAAGAGCCAGGUUGAUUUUUUUCCACUCAAUUCUGGGAAAACAAACAAACAACUCUAGAGUGGAGGAUAAGGGAAAAAAGGAGGAAACUUAGAGAAAAUCAAGAGGCAUCUUCCCCUCUUACAAAUCCUCUGCCCUACUGCUCAGGAAAAAAAACACGUUUCCUCAAAUGCUUGUUUUUCUGUGGUGAUGAAUAAAGUAGUCACAAUUUCUG